rnacentral:piRNA from 1 species
GAAGAAAAUGACCCGGGUUUACAUAGU